rnacentral:misc_RNA from 1 species
AAGUCGUAACAAGGUCUCCGUUGGUGAACCAGCGGAAGGAUCAUUAAUAAAUGGCGAAGCUUUCGAGCCUAGCUUUUAUCAUCCUAUACACCUGUGAACUAUUUGCCUUCGGGCACCAAACAAACAUAAUGUAAUGAAUGUAAUCUACUAUAAUAAAUACAACUUUCAACAACGGAUCUCUUGGCUCUCA